GGUUAAGCGACUAAGCGUACACGGUGGAUGCCCUGGCAGUCAGAGGCGAUGAAGGACGUGCUAAUCUGCGAUAAGCGUCGGUAAGGUGAUAUGAACCGUUAUAACCGGCGAUUUCCGAAUGGGGAAACCCAGUGUGUUUCGACACACUAUCAUUAACUGAAUCCAUAGGUUAAUGAGGCGAACCGGGGGAACUGAAACAUCUAAGUACCCCGAGGAAAAGAAAUCAACCGAGAUUCCCCCAGUAGCGGCGAGCGAACGGGGAGGAGCCCAGAGCCUGAAUCAGUGUGUGUGUUAGUGGAAGCGUCUGGAAAGGCGCGCGAUACAGGGUGACAGCCCCGUACACAAAAAUGCACAUGCUGUGAGCUCGAUGAGUAGGGCGGGACACGUGGUAUCCUGUCUGAAUAUGGGGGACCAUCCUCCAAGGCUAAAUACUCCUGACUGACCGAUAGUGAACCAGUACCGUGAGGGAAAGGCGAAAAGAACCCCGGCGAGGGGAGUGAAAAAGAACCUGAAACCGUGUACGUACAAGCAGUGGGAGCACAGAGCAAUCUGUGUGACUGCGUACCUUUUGUAUAAUGGGUCAGCGACUUAUAUUCUGUAGCAAGGUUAACCGAAUAGGGGAGCCGAAGGGAAACCGAGUCUUAACUGGGCGUUAAGUUGCAGGGUAUAGACCCGAAACCCGGUGAUCUAGCCAUGGGCAGGUUGAAGGUUGGGUAACACUAACUGGAGGACCGAACCGACUAAUGUUGAAAAAUUAGCGGAUGACUUGUGGCUGGGGGUGAAAGGCCAAUCAAACCGGGAGAUAGCUGGUUCUCCCCGAAAGCUAUUUAGGUAGCGCCUCGUGAAUUCAUCUCCGGGGGUAGAGCACUGUUUCGGCAAGGGGGUCAUCCCGACUUACCAACCCGAUGCAAACUGCGAAUACCGGAGAAUGUUAUCACGGGAGACACACGGCGGGUGCUAACGUCCGUCGUGAAGAGGGAAACAACCCAGACCGCCAGCUAAGGUCCCAAAGUCAUGGUUAAGUGGGAAACGAUGUGGGAAGGCCCAGACAGCCAGGAUGUUGGCUUAGAAGCAGCCAUCAUUUAAAGAAAGCGUAAUAGCUCACUGGUCGAGUCGGCCUGCGCGGAAGAUGUAACGGGGCUAAACCAUGCACCGAAGCUGCGGCAGCGACACUGUGUGUUGUUGGGUAGGGGAGCGUUCUGUAAGCCUGUGAAGGUGUGCUGUGAGGCAUGCUGGAGGUAUCAGAAGUGCGAAUGCUGACAUAAGUAACGAUAAAGCGGGUGAAAAGCCCGCUCGCCGGAAGACCAAGGGUUCCUGUCCAACGUUAAUCGGGGCAGGGUGAGUCGACCCCUAAGGCGAGGCCGAAAGGCGUAGUCGAUGGGAAACAGGUUAAUAUUCCUGUACUUGGUGUUACUGCGAAGGGGGGGACGGAGAAGGCUAUGUUGGCCGGGCGACGGUUGUCCCGGUUUAAGCGUGUAGGCUGGUUUUCCAGGCAAAUCCGGAAAAUCAAGGCUGAGGCGUGAUGACGAGGCACUACGGUGCUGAAGCAACAAAUGCCCUGCUUCCAGGAAAAGCCUCUAAGCAUCAGGUAACAUCAAAUCGUACCCCAAACCGACACAGGUGGUCAGGUAGAGAAUACCAAGGCGCUUGAGAGAACUCGGGUGAAGGAACUAGGCAAAAUGGUGCCGUAACUUCGGGAGAAGGCACGCUGAUAUGUAGGUGAAGUCCCUCGCGGAUGGAGCUGAAAUCAGUCGAAGAUACCAGCUGGCUGCAACUGUUUAUUAAAAACACAGCACUGUGCAAACACGAAAGUGGACGUAUACGGUGUGACGCCUGCCCGGUGCCGGAAGGUUAAUUGAUGGGGUCAGCGCAAGCGAAGCUCUUGAUCGAAGCCCCGGUAAACGGCGGCCGUAACUAUAACGGUCCUAAGGUAGCGAAAUUCCUUGUCGGGUAAGUUCCGACCUGCACGAAUGGCGUAAUGAUGGCCAGGCUGUCUCCACCCGAGACUCAGUGAAAUUGAACUCGCUGUGAAGAUGCAGUGUACCCGCGGCAAGACGGAAAGACCCCGUGAACCUUUACUAUAGCUUGACACUGAACAUUGAGCCUUGAUGUGUAGGAUAGGUGGGAGGCUUUGAAGUGUGGACGCCAGUCUGCAUGGAGCCGACCUUGAAAUACCACCCUUUAAUGUUUGAUGUUCUAACGUGGACCCGUGAUCCGGGUUGCGGACAGUGUCUGGUGGGUAGUUUGACUGGGGCGGUCUCCUCCUAAAGAGUAACGGAGGAGCACGAAGGUUGGCUAAUCCUGGUCGGACAUCAGGAGGUUAGUGCAAUGGCAUAAGCCAGCUUGACUGCGAGCGUGACGGCGCGAGCAGGUGCGAAAGCAGGUCAUAGUGAUCCGGUGGUUCUGAAUGGAAGGGCCAUCGCUCAACGGAUAAAAGGUACUCCGGGGAUAACAGGCUGAUACCGCCCAAGAGUUCAUAUCGACGGCGGUGUUUGGCACCUCGAUGUCGGCUCAUCACAUCCUGGGGCUGAAGUAGGUCCCAAGGGUAUGGCUGUUCGCCAUUUAAAGUGGUACGCGAGCUGGGUUUAGAACGUCGUGAGACAGUUCGGUCCCUAUCUGCCGUGGGCGCUGGAGAACUGAGGGGGGCUGCUCCUAGUACGAGAGGACCGGAGUGGACGCAUCACUGGUGUUCGGGUUGUCAUGCCAAUGGCACUGCCCGGUAGCUAAAUGCGGAAGAGAUAAGUGCUGAAAGCAUCUAAGCACGAAACUUGCCCCGAGAUGAGUUCUCCCUGACCCUUUAAGGGUCCUGAAGGAACGUUGAAGACGACGACGUUGAUAGGCCGGGUGUGUAAGCGCAGCGAUGCGUUGAGCUAACCGGUACUAAUGAACCGUGAGGCUUAACCUU
rnacentral:rRNA from 1 species